AACGUAGGAGACAAACGUUAUCCGGAGUUACUGGGCGUAAAGGGCGUGUAGGUGGUUUCGUAAGUCUGGCGUGAAAUUUCUCGGCUUAACCGAGGCAGGUCGUCGGAUACUGCGGAACUUGAGGACGGUAGAGGCGUGUGGAAUUCCGGGUGUAGUGGUGAAAUGCGCAGAUAUCAGGAAGAACACCCGUGGCGAAAGCGGCUCUCUGGAACGGUACUGACGCUGAGACGCGAAAGCGUGGGGAGCGAACAGG
rnacentral:rRNA from 1 species